GAUGAACGCUGGCGGCGUGCCUAAUACAUGCAAGUCGAGCGAACGGACGAGAAGCUUGCUUCUCUGAUGUUAGCGGCGGACGGGUGAGUAACACGUGGAUAACCUACCUAUAAGACUGGGAUAACUUCGGGAAACCGGAGCUAAUACCGGAUAAUAUUUUGAACCGCAUGGUUCAAAAGUGAAAGACGGUCUUGCUGUCGCUUAUAGAUGGAUCCGCGCUGCAUUAGCUAGUUGGUAAGGUAACGGCUUACCAAGGCAACGAUGCAUAGCCGACCUGAGAGGGUGAUCGGCCACACUGGAACUGAGACACGGUCCAGACUCCUACGGGAGGCAGCAGUAGGGAAUCUUCCGCAAUGGGCGAAAGCCUGACGGAGCAACGCCGCGUGAGUGAUGAAGGUCUUCGGAUCGUAAAACUCUGUUAUUAGGGAAGAACAUAUGUGUAAGUAACUGUGCACAUCUUGACGGUACCUAAUCAGAAAGCCACGGCUAACUACGUGCCAGCAGCCGCGGUAAUACGUAGGUGGCAAGCGUUAUCCGGAAUUAUUGGGCGUAAAGCGCGCGUAGGCGGUUUUUUAAGUCUGAUGUGAAAGCCCACGGCUCAACCGUGGAGGGUCAUUGGAAACUGGAAAACUUGAGUGCAGAAGAGGAAAGUGGAAUUCCAUGUGUAGCGGUGAAAUGCGCAGAGAUAUGGAGGAACACCAGUGGCGAAGGCGACUUUCUGGUCUGUAACUGACGCUGAUGUGCGAAAGCGUGGGGAUCAAACAGGAUUAGAUACCCUGGUAGUCCACGCCGUAAACGAUGAGUGCUAAGUGUUAGGGGGUUUCCGCCCCUUAGUGCUGCAGCUAACGCAUUAAGCACUCCGCCUGGGGAGUACGACCGCAAGGUUGAAACUCAAAGGAAUUGACGGGGACCCGCACAAGCGGUGGAGCAUGUGGUUUAAUUCGAAGCAACGCGAAGAACCUUACCAAAUCUUGACAUCCUUUGACAACUCUAGAGAUAGAGCUUUCCCCUUCGGGGGACAAAGUGACAGGUGGUGCAUGGUUGUCGUCAGCUCGUGUCGUGAGAUGUUGGGUUAAGUCCCGCAACGAGCGCAACCCUUAAGCUUAGUUGCCAUCAUUAAGUUGGGCACUCUAAGUUGACUGCCGGUGACAAACCGGAGGAAGGUGGGGAUGACGUCAAAUCAUCAUGCCCCUUACGAUUUGGGCUACACACGUGCUACAAUGGACAAUACAAAGGGCAGCGAAACCGCGAGGUCAAGCAAAUCCCAUAAAGUUGUUCUCAGUUCGGAUUGUAGUCUGCAACUCGACUACAUGAAGCUGGAAUCGCUAGUAAUCGUAGAUCAGCAUGCUACGGUGAAUACGUUCCCGGGUCU
rnacentral:rRNA from 1 species